GCCCCUUUAGCUCAGUGGACCAGAGCAUCCGGCUUCGAACCGGAUGGUCGGGAGUUCGAACCUUCCAAGAGGCA
rnacentral:tRNA from 1 species